GUGCUUGCUUCAGCAGCACAUAUACUAAAAUUGUAAUAAUACAGAGCAGAUUAGAAUGGCCCCUGUGCAAGGAUGGCAUGCAAAUUCAUGAUACGUUCCAUAUUUUU